UAUUAGGACUACUGGAUGAACCACACCUUCCUUUUGACUGUGAUACCAUGAGACUGCUUGAGGAGGCCUAUGAGGACCUGGGGGAUAGUCAAGCUAUACAGUAUGGGGAUCAACACUGGUACAUAGGAUACAAACUUAUUGUAAAGUGGCUCCAAUGAAGAAUCACGGACGAGACAUAUACAUAAGCACUCUGAGUUUCUUCAGGAGUCAGGCUUUCUUAGAUACACUUACAGAACGACUAUGAGCCAUGGUUGAUGAUAAAACGAGACAGGUAAGUCGUAAACGUAGCGACAUGCAUUUUAUAUAAUUCACCCACCUUAUUCUCAUGUUGUAUGAUUCAAUAGGACGACAAGAAGUAGUCACAAGAAAGAGUGCUCUGUCAAGCAAAGAAGCAGCUAUUAUAUUAUUAUCAUUUAUAAAAUGAAAUUAUGUAAUUAUAGACCUGCUAGCCUACCAAGAUCAAAAUGCAUGACGCUUGCAUCUUUUAUAAAUAAAUAAAAUUAUAAUAUAUAUAUUACAAGUUUUAGAAAGUAAGAGUACAAUAAUGAUAGAAAUAUAAUAAUGAUACUGAUAAUGCAUUCACUGGUAAGACUCAUAAUAGGCAUGGCUUUAAUUUAUGGCCACACCCACUUGACACAGACAAGCAGAUGGAUAUUAACGUGUUCCUUAGAGUUUUUGUACCAAAAGAAGGAGAAGCCAAUGUAUGGGAACUAUCAACUGAUUAUUAUCUACACCAUAGGACAGCUAGGGAACUACAAUCACCAAAACUGUUUAAGAGUUAUUGCUAAUAUUGAAGAUGAUCCUGAAGAAGAACCCACUCCUCCAGCAGUACCUCAUAUUAAUAAUGACACUACUGACAGAGACAGUUUUGAUGGAUAAUACAAAAUGUACGAACUAACCAACUUUGAUAGACUACUGAGCACAUCUGUUGUAAGGACUGGAGAUAAUGUUGUGUCCCUUGAUAGUGAAGGUGCUAUUCAAGGUAAUCCUUUUGUAGUGAGAGAUAAAAUGAAGAAGAAAGUGGGCUCCAGUAGUUCCAAGAUGGCUGCUAAAAGAGGAUUCAGUGUUGGUUUACCACAGACUCAGAUUGCUAUGUACUCACAAUUUGACAGAUGAUUAUUUUGUUGUGUGUUAUAUAUGACUAUUUGAUUAUGUGUUCACCACUUUCUGUGGUGGUUUGUUUGUUUUGUCCCACAAGUGUGUUUGAAUAAUAAUAUUGAUAGUUAAUAGUUAAUGCUAUGUCCUAGAACUG
rnacentral:lncRNA from 1 species